GACGAAGCAACACAGCAAAAGCAAAAGCCUAAACUAACUACCAACCAACUCUCACACCCACCACAACAGCAUGCAUCGAUCGAUGGCCGAUAAAACGCGGCGUUGCAACAACAAUGAAUAAACGAACAACAAACGAAGUCGCAUACGACGACAAAAUAAGUAAAUGAUCACGAGAAGUUCACAAAACAAAACGAUUUGAUUACGCCGGCAACAAGUGUUAUGAGAUCAAUACGCUCUAACUAGUACUCUGUGUUUGCUAAUGCAUAGGUAUGCGUACAAGUACUCGUGAAUAAAAAGUAAUUGACUAUUUCGGAGCAAUGGAUAUUAAGUUCAACGAAGGACCCAAUCGAGCUCUUGACUCUGCUUUGUCAGCUCAAUUGUAAAAAUAUACAUGUCGUCCGAAUGGACGAAAACACUUCAGCUCUAAAAGUAU